UGCAAGCCCCAAAGUCAACCAGACCAGGGUAUAAAACGAAUGUCGGAACUUAAAUAGACAUCAUUUCAGCGUACAUGAAGGUUUAGAGGGGUGACAACGAAUUCAAGAAUAGCCGCACAAUGAAGGUCACAGUUUCCGCCUCUGUUCUGGCGUUUGCGUGUCUGGUCUGCUCGGUGACGUCACGAUACACUAGCAGCAUCGGCAGCUCGUUUUGGAGGCGGGCUGAGUCGAACUUACCUGUCAAGGGAAGCUGGCCUCAGAGGGAUUUAACUUCCUGGCAGACAGACAGAAGGUACUUACGUGUCGUAAUUGUGUUACAAGUGCUAUACAAAUCUAACUAAAACAA